GAAAAUUUCACCCUACGUUAUGAAAUUUUGAUGUGAAAAGUAUGUAACUACGAAAGGGAUUUUUAUCAGCAGUAUAUAAGAAUUGUGAAAAAGUAAGGUCUUUUCCACAUUGUGCUGUCGCCCACACAGUUCCAUGAUUGAUGGUGCGGAGUUGUCGGCAAGUUCUUUCCAUCGAAACUGGUAAAAAGGCGAGUGUCUCAGGAGGCACAGGUGCCACUCGGCGCAUUCCUGUUCGAAUACCGGAAGUGGGUCCACACAAUGGGGAAUACGUGCAGUCUGGUAUAGCCGAGUUGGACACAGCGUAUGCCGCCCGCCGCGCGCCCCUUCGCGGUGCCGUACGUGAUCGCGCAUGCAUUACGCCUAAUUAACGCCCGACGGGUCGCCGUGGCGCGAUUGUUGCUUUCCUUUAUCGCCGUACCGGGAAGUACGGACGAAACCGUAAGACGAUGGCGCGGUCCGGCAGCGACGUCUUGUCUUGCUUUUAUACCUAUACCUUUCGGCGCCACCUGUCGGCGUCGAAACGUGCAAAUUCGCCGCGAACUUAUACACGUGCGCUCCGGUUUUCCGUUCUGUCAAACCGAAACGAGCACGCACUGUUCGACGCGCAAGAGAGGAGAUAUGAUUAACCUUCGUCACGAGAGCUGGGCGCUGCCGGCGCCACCGUCAUUACACCCCUUCACUUAAUAACACCUAAGAAAACCACUACGGGGCGAAUAUCUCGUGUAAUCAUACAUUCGGAGGCCGCUGACAUGAGGACGACGUCUUCGGCGGGACCGCCGGGGGCGCCGCGACGCCCCGAGUACUACCACGCCGAUUUUCAGACCGAUUCACCGCCGACGCGGAAUCCAUAAAUCAUCCGCCCGAUUGAUUCACGUUUCGGAUCGCAACUCCAACUACGUUAAUAAUAUGGCCGCAACCAACGGAUCGACACGUGUUGAAAAAGAACGGGCGGACGCGAGAAGACGUAAAAAUCCCUCGCGUUACAUGUGCGGUGCGUUAUCCGUGGGUAUAAAAUUAGUGUUCGUGGCGACAGGACAUUAAUUACCAUACAAUGGAUGUACGGGGACCUUCCCCUGUCAGAUGGCGUUGUGCCUGGUGGGCCGGCUAAAGGCAGGGAACGAGAACCAAGUGACGACCCAUCAAAACGGACACACCUCAAAAAAAAAUUUUUUUUCUUUAUCGAAAUUCUCGUUAUUAGGCUGUCUAAAUGCUAUUUAAGAUAGAGGGAAAGGAGAACUUGGAAAGCUUCGUACGAUCGCGAAACCAUCUCGAAGCCGACGUUAAGGUAUGACCGGUAUCGACGGAUCUACAUGUGUAGUACAGGUCUGUGGGAACAUGGUUCAACGCGUACUCAGCACACAGGUUCUAGAUUUCAGCUAGUUCAUGUGAGAACUGCUCGGAUCGUUAUAAAUCGAUCGGUGGAAGAGGUAAGAAUUAGCAUCGCGACGCUUUCCACUUCGCCUUCUAUUUCGCCUUCUACUUCGUCUUCCACAUCGCCUUCCACUUCACCUUCCACUUCGUCCUGGGUAUUUUAUCGACGUCCGUUUGGACGACGGGACGGUGAAACAAACAGACAGCCAUCGAGCGCGGUAUGCGGGAGUGUCCAUCACGUAUUUGGUGACAUGUCUAUGCAGUUUGAAUGCCAAGCGUCGCGACGACGUACAACACGUGAAGGUCAUACGGGUUUGAAACGAACCAGCGAUUUCUGUAGACAUUUACGGGUAUUUAUUUAGGGCGGAAUAGAAACUCCGGGCCGACCUAUUGUUCGACCGUAAUCCAUGAAACUUACACCCGAAGACUUUAACUUCUAGUCGCACCUGCGAUGACGCGGUCUAAGGUGCAGAGAAGAAACGUGUGGGUCGAGAAAAAAAAAAGUAACUAAUCCUCUUACCAAAAAACCAACAGAGAAAAUAUCAGGAAGCUGAUACAUGACAUUAUUUUUUCUUUUAUAAAUUUUCUAUCUAUGGUCUGAAUCACAUUGGCACGUCAAUUACAGCCGAAGUAAUAAAUGGUUCGAAUACAAAGUUGUCAGUGGCUUAUUCUUUUUUAAACUUAUACAUAUUAAUGAGACAAACGUUAAACAAAACUUGUAUCGGGUGCGGUGCGAACGUUUGUCUUUGACAAGAUAGACAAAACAUCGAAUAACACCUGUUUAACACGUUUCUAAUAUACAUACUAAUUUAACCCCCCUCAUUAAACACUAUUCAUGAAUUAAUUCUUCUACAUUUAAGAAUAUUUGACCUUUUCGUUUUACCGUUAAGCCGCCAAAGCGUAAGAAAUUGCAGAGAAUGCGACAAACACCUUAG